rnacentral:rRNA from 1 species
UACGUAGGUGGCAAGCGUUGUCCGGAUUUAUUGGGUUUAAAGGGUGCGUAGGCGGCUUUGUAAGUCAGUGGUGAAAUAUGGCAGCUUGACUGUCAAGGUGCCAUUGAUACUGCAGAGCUUGAGUACAGAUGAGGUAGGCGGAAUUGACGGUGUAGCGGUGAAAUGCUUAGAUAUCGUCAAGAACACCUAUAGCGAAGGCAGCUUACUAAGCUGUAACUGACGCUGAGGCACGAAAGUGUGGGGAUCAAACAGG